CCUACGGGUAGCAGCAGUGGGGAAUAUUGCACAAUGCGGGAAACCCUGAUGCAGCGACGCCGCGUGAGUGAGGAAGUAUUUCGGUAUGUAAAGCUCUAUCAACAGGGAAGAAAAUGACGGUACCUGACUAAGAAGCCCCGGCUAACUACGUUCCAGCAGCCGCGGUAUUACGUAGGGGGCAAGCGUUAGACGGAUUGACUGGGUGUAAAGGGGGCGUAGACGGCUAAUCAAGUCAGAAGUGAAAACCCAGGGCUCAACUUUGGGACUGCUUUUGAAACUGAGUAGCUAGAGUGCAGGAGAGGUAAGCGGAAUUCCUAGUGUAGCGGUGAAAUGCGUAGAUAUUAGGAGGAAUACCAGUGGCGAAGGCGGCUUACUGGACUGUAACUGACGUUGAGGCGCGAAAGCGUGGGGAGCAAACAGGAUUAGAUACCCCUGUAGUC
rnacentral:rRNA from 1 species